rnacentral:rRNA from 1 species
UACGAAGGGGGCUAGCGUUGCUCGGAAUCACUGGGCGUAAAGCGCACGUAGGCGGAUUGCUAAGUCAGGGGUGAAAGCCCGGAGCUCAACUCCGGAACUGCCUUUGAAACUGUCAGGCUCGAGUACGGGAGAGGUGAGUGGAAUUCCCAGUGUAGAGGUGAAAUUCGUAGAUAUUGGGAAGAACACCGGUGGCGAAGGCGGCUCACUGGCCCGUUUCUGACGCUCAGGCGCGACAGCGUGGGGAUCAAACAG